rnacentral:lncRNA from 1 species
UACAGAAAGGAAACCUGGUGAAGGGGAUGAAGGAUGGUCAACGGUCAAAUACAAAUAACUCUGGACAACUAUAACAUACUGGACAGUGGAAUUUAUUACAAUAUUUUUAUUGACCAACUCAUAUUUAUUGAACACUUCUUAUUGGACAACUUUACCAUAAUGAAUGACUAAUCUUAUUCAACAACUGUCAAAUAUUGAUCAUGUAAUAAUAUUAAACAACUAAUAAGUUCUUCUUGGACAACUUUACCGAAAUGAAUGAUUCUUCUUAUAAGACAACUGUCAGAUACUGAGCAUGUUAAAUUAAACAACUGUGAAAUACUGAAAUCUUCUUAUUGGUCAAUCUGAUGCUGAUUACUUCUUCUUUAAUAUACUAUUAGAUGAUUUUGAAUACAAUUUAACAUAGACUUACUUCCACUAUUUUUACAAAGCAAAAAACUUAAUAUUGAACAGCUGUGCUAUACAGAACAUUUGAUACAAACAUUGUACAGUACUACACACUUACAAAAAAAUCAUCAGUUAUUUAUUGUCAUUUUAAGCUGUAGCAUACAUGUAUGUGUGUCUUGUUGUAUUUCAUCUUUCUUGCCGUUUUGGAAAAUUAUUGUUUGAGAGUAGAUGGGCAUUUAAGCCAUUUAUUCUUUAAAAUGAAUUAUUGGUGCAUUAUACAUUGUUAUAUUUCCAUUAAAUAUUAUAAAAAUAUUUAGAAUUCUGCAAACAAAACAAAAUAUAUUGUGGGUUUGGAAUUUAAGUGCCCUCCUAAAUAUAUAUACACAUUGAAUAAUGGUAAUCUACAUUUAUAUUUUCUAGAUUAUUCAACAACUAGAUGCAUGUAUAUGAUAAAUUUGUAGGAACAGUUAUUAUAAUUUAUUAAUGUUGUUAAUGGUUUUCUUUGUCAUUUGAAAUGUAUGGCUAUUACAAAAUUUAUGUAAUUGAAGUGCUAAUUGUUGAAUAAUUAUGACAUUGAUUGUAAAAUAAAUUUUAAUUGCACAAUUUGUAUCAGUUGUCCUCCGGCAUGUCUAUUCUACUGGAAAUUAUACCCCAACAGUAAUAGGGAAACUGAUAAAAUUGAGAAUGAA